CGGGGACAGGUGGAGGUGGAGGUUUCGUGACUACUGGUGGGAGUGGUGGUGUGAUGGUGGGUGGUUUUGGCCCAUAGGGUGGUGGCAAUAGAGGAGGUGCGGGUGAGGGUGUGGGUGGGGGCUUGUAUGGUGGGUAUGAUGGCGCCGGUGGCUUUACGGGGACGGGUGGAGGUUUCGUGACUAUUGGUGGUUUGAUGAUGGGUGGUUUUGGCACAGAGGGUGGUGGCAGUAGAGGAGGUGUGGGUGUGGGUUUGUAUGGUGGGUGCACAACGGGAGGCUUGGGCUUGAAUGGAGGAUGAACAAUUGGAGGCUUGGGCUUGAAUGGAGGAUGUACAACUGGUGGCUUGGGAUGGAAUGGAGGAUGCACAACUGGUGGCUUGGGGUGGAAUGGAGGAUGCACAAAUGGAGGCUUGGGAUGGAACGGAGGAUGCACAAAUGGAGGCUUGGGGUGGAACGGAGGAUGCACAAAUGGAGGCUUGGGAUGGAACGGAGGAUGCACAAUGGGAGGCUUGGGAGUGAAAGGUGGCUUAACUAUGGGAGGUUUCGGUGGUGGCUUUAUAAUGGGAGGUUUUGGAGUGAAAGGUGGCUUAACUACGGGAGGUUUCGGUGGCGGCUUUACAAUGGGAGGCUUGGGAGUGAAAGGUGGCUUAACUAUUGGAGGUUUCGGUGGUGGCUUUACAAUAGGAGGUAGCACACGUGGUGGCGGUUUUACGACGGGAGGUUUGGGGGAGGGAUAGUGUGGUGGCUUAACUACGGGAGGUUUCGGUGGCGGCUUAACUACGGGAGGUUUCGGUGGCGGCUUUACAAUGGGAGGCUUGGGAAUGAAAGGUGGCUUAACUAUUGGAGGUUUCGGUGGCGGCUUUACAAUAGGAGGUAGCACAUGUGGUGGCGGUUUUACGACGGGAGGUUUGGGUGAGGGAUAGUAGGGUGGCUUUACAAUUGGGGGGUGUUUUGGUGGAAAUUUGGGUGGAAGGGGGGGAGGAAUUGGGUAUGGGCAGUAAGGACAUGCUAGAGAAAUAAGCAAUGUCCCCAAGUUGAGAAGUGCUACGAUU
rnacentral:lncRNA from 1 species